rnacentral:rRNA from 1 species
GUAGGUGGCAAGCGUUGUCCGGAAUUAUUGGGCGUAAAGCGCGCGCAGGCGGGGGUUUUUAAGUCUGAUGUGAAAGCCCACGGGCUCAACCGUGGAGGGUCAUUGGAAACUGGAGAACUUGAGUACAGAAGAGGAAAGCGGAAUUCCACGUGUAGCGGUGAAAUGCGUAGAGAUGUGGAGGAACACCAGUGGCGAAGGCGGCUUUCUGGUCUGUAACUGACGCUGAGGCGCGAAAGCGUGGGGAGCAAACAGGAUUAGAUACCCUGUAGUCCACGCCGUAAACGAUGAGUGCUAAGUGUUAGGGGGUUUCCGCCCCUUAGUGCUGCAGCUAACGCAUUAAGCACUCCGCCUGGGGAGUACGGCCGCAAGGCUG